UACGUAGGGUGCGGGCGUUAAUCGGAAUUACUGGGCGUAAAGCGUGCGUAGGCGGUUCUCCAAGUCCGUUGUGAAAGCCCCGGGCUCAACCUGGGAAUGGCAGUGGAAACUAGGGGACUGGAAUCUGGCAGAGGGGGGUGGAAUGCCGCGUGUAGCAGUGAAAUGCGUAGAGAUGCGGCGGAACACCGAUGGCGAAGGCAGCCCCCUGGGCUGAGAUUGACGCUCAGGCACGAAAGCGUGGGGAGCAAACAGG
rnacentral:rRNA from 1 species